rnacentral:rRNA from 1 species
AUACGGAGGGUGCAAGCGUUGUCCGGAUUUAUUGGGUUUAAAGGGUGCGUAGGUGGUUUUUUAAGUCAGUGGUGAAAGCCUACAGCUUAACUGUAGAGGUGCCAUUGAAACUGGAAGACUUGAGUAUGGACGAGGUAGGCGGAAUUUGUGGUGUAGCGGUGAAAUGCAUAGAUACCACAAAGAACACCGAUAGCGAAGGCAGCUUACUAGGCCAUAACUGACACUGAGGCACGAAAGUGUGGGGAGCGAACAGGAUUAGAAACCCCAGUAGUCC